AUUCUCUUAGUUUAAUGAUAGAACGACAUCUCUUUAAGAUGUAAAUUUUGGUUUAAAUCCAAAAGAGAAUA